GCGCACGGGGGCCGCGGUGCUUUUCCCAGAAGCAGGGCAAUUGCGAGGGCAGGGGAUGGGUUUGGGCUUGGCCGCAAGGAGGGUGACGCAGUCUGCACAGACGCACGGCUUCCUCUGACACACCGUGUUCUCAGCUGGGGAAGGGACGGAGGGAGGGGGUCAAGACGACACUUAGGCUCCAUCCACAAAGCAGAGGGAGCUCCUUCUCCUCGAGGCUGCGACUUCGAUUUGAUUUAAAGGUCACGUCAGCAUCCUGUUAAUGAGUGGGGAUUAAUUCCUGUCUCUUUACUUAACAUUCUGACCUUUGUUAUCAGGCACUUUCCUCUGACAUUUUCUCAGAUCAGGUGAAUUUCUGAACUUUCUCGGGGCCGACGAGGACUUCAAAGGCUCCUCAGGAGGUGGCCGCAUGGCGAUCCCCCCGUUCCUCGCCAGCGUCGCGGUUUGAAUAGGGCUCUGCAGCCACGCUGGGCAGGACUGUGUCUGCGGUCCACGACGAGGGCAGUUUCUCCCGCUUUGCUGUCCUUUACAAAGUGCUGUCGGCCACCCUGGGGCAAGAAGUCUACCGGACUCACCCAGCCGCCCCUGCCAGUGCGACGCUGUGUGCCGGCCAGGAGCCCCCGGCUUUGCAGUCGUUUCUGAAUGUGCCAAAUGGGUGGGGGGCGGUGGACCCUGUCACCAGGUUGCCCCCUCUGCUCCUUAGAGACAGAAGGUUGAGGUUGGUCCUUCUGGGAGCGGGUGAGCCUUCAGCAGGACUGUGCCCCCGUCCCUCUUAAAACAGAGAAGCACCCAGUUUGGAGUUUCAUGUGAAGGUUAACUUGGGGGAAAACAAAUGUGUCAUCGUGUGACAGCGAGUUCCCCUUUUCUUCCUGGUGACGCGCAUGGACAUGGGCAGAAGUGACCCCAGGCUGCUGAACUCUGCCACUGAGGAGACUGCGGGCGGGUGGGGACAGUAGGGCCACCAAAAGACUCCGCUGAGUUAUCAGGUCCCUGCACGGACAACAGCCGCCCCGCAGGACUGCGGGAGCAGCCUCCAAGGGAGCUGGGGGUGAGCACGCUCCGCUCCAGGACCUGAGGUUUGUGGUGUUUGUCUCUGCAGCGUUAUCGCCCCCGGAACCCGGCAGAAGUCACGUCACCUGGGCCAGGGUCCCUCCAGCUCCACGGGCCCUGCCGUUCCAACUUCCUUGGCCACAGUUACCUGCCACUCUUCGGUGGCCAGUUGGGAGGCAGCCUGAGGCUGUGCAGGCAGCGGAACGGAGGAAGCAGAGGGGCCGGUAGGGCCCGGGGCGGGCGAUCCGGGCAACGGGCCGCGGGCUCACACAGCAGGCUCUCACUGUGUCCCAGUUCAGAUCAAAACCACAGCAGAGACGGAUGAAGCUGAGAAAGGAAACAGCAGAGAAAGACAACAGAACCGGAAGCUGGUUCUCUGACUGGCUCAACAAAGCUGACAAACCUGGACUGAGCAAGAAAUGCAGGCUCGGGUGACUAAACCAGAGCGUGUGGACCGGAAUCUGAAGUCUCGUCCACGCUGCUUCCUCCCUGGGACCGGGGCCGGCAGCCAGCACGGGCAUUUCUCAUCCCCGGGCGCCCCGUCCUGUGGGGGCCGCUUCCCGGCCGUCACCUGCCCAGCUUCUGCAGCGACCCUCUGAGGGCGGCUCCACGGCGACACGAGGAGGGCGCUCGGGAGGCAGCGCCAGCGCACAAGCUCAGAAGCGCCCGCUUUGCUCUGCUCCGCAUGGGCCCCUUCGGCGGAGGCUGGCCUGCCUGGCGCUCUAGCCCACGGAGACCCCUAACUGGCACGGGGAGCCUGGGCCUGGCUGGUGCAGCUCCAGCUGCCCCCGAGUACGUUGUGUAAAGGGUGGAAGACCGCGGGCUUGGAUGGAGCACAGCAGGCGCGGGGGACGGAGGGGCCGGCGGCAGGAAGCCUGUGCCCCAGAUGCGGGGCCGUUUCCUGCGGGGGCCAGACGGGCUCUUCGGCCCCUCACGCACGGGAGCUGGUGGCGGGGCUGCUCCCCCACUUCCCCAGGCUUCCGGAAGACGCAGAGCCCGGGACCACGAGGCCACAGGCAGCACAAGCUACAGUUUUUGGAAGGAGAGAGGCACGUGUGGUUCAGACCCCUGGGCGGGAGGCUGUGCCCACCAGACAGACCACGUGUGUUUAAUUAGAUCCCUGAGAGCAGAGCCAAGGCAGGACGGGGAGGGGGCAGGAGGUGCCCUGGGGCGGUCCCAGGAGGCAGGAGGUGGGGGGAAAGGGUGGGAGAGGGGUAUUCAGGAGCAGAAACCGCUGGGCCUGCGGAGCUGGCCACGCGAUGGGACGGAGAGCCAGGUGUCGCUCACCGUCACCCGACCUGGGGGCGUCCUUUGCCCCCCGAGCCGUGUACCUGCCUGGCCUGGCUCUGGGGAUGCGCCUGCCGCUCUGGUGCACUUUAUUUAUUCAGGAAGGUUUUAUCCUGUUCUGACUCCCUGAUGUCUGAAGGCGUUCUUCCUUCCGAGUUAGAUUGUACACUUUCAGGUUUCACGUUCUCUUCUUGUUUUCCUUCUGCCACACCGCACACCAGCGUCACUUUUCUGGGCGAUUAAAACCGUGAUGAAGAGCAUCUGCUCACUGGACUUGUCAAGUGGCGUGUGCACCCGCGUGUGCCCUGCCCCCGUAGACACCCAAGGAAUCACGCUCCCGGUCCUAGUUUCCAGGGACAGGCACUUGUUUCCUUUGGCUCACGUCCGAGGCUCCCGCUCAGGUGCCAUUUCCACGUUGGCCUUUCUGCCAAAAGACAGGCUCCGUGCGUUUUGGGUCUGGGCAGGAGCAGGGCAGGAGCAGAGAGGCCAGCUCCCAGGUGAGGUGCAGGCUGGCGGGCAGAGGGGGACUCCGCUGGGGGGUGGGCUGGGGCUCCGUGGGCCUCCUACUCAGGGGGACCAGGGAGAUACCCCCAAAUCUAAAAACUCACCCCAAAAAUACUAACAGACUUUGUGUGCAUGUGUACACACACACAUCCCAUACCCACGACACUGAAGGGGCACAUUAUCUGGAUAACAGAGUAUCUAUCAAAAUAAAAAGAUUGCAACAAAGAUGAAAUAUAAACAAUAGUUAAAAUAAUUUCCAUUAAUUUUUUAUUGUGGACUUCAAUCUCUUUUUUCCUUACUAAAGUGAUACUGGAAGCAUUGAUAUGAUUAAAUACACACCAUCAGUUUUAGAAAUCUUAAUCAGACUUCCUUUUUCUCCUUUUUUGAUGGAGGGACUGGGGACUGAACCCAGGACCUUGUGCGUGCUAAGCACACGCUCUACCACUGAGCUGCACCCCCUCCCUUGCUUGGACUUUCUGAAGCAGCAGUUCAAGCUUCUAAGUUUGGGGCACAUUGGGCUCUGGUUCUCUGGACCCUGCCCUGGCUGGAGACACACAGGCACCAGAUUCUGUUCGCAAGUUUCCUCGGUGGACACAUAUGGUGGCUUUUAAGGCAACGUGCUUCAGUUGUUUCCCGUAAUAAAAUCUCCUGAGGAUGGAGAACACUCCACAUUUUUCAGUCUCUCUAUGAGAUGAGUUUCUUUCUCUUCCACUUUGAAAACAUCACUUUUCCCUUGAAAAGACAGCAUCCACAGGUUUAUUUUUUCAGGAACCCUGGCAGGCUGCGUGCGAUGACCAGCCUUUGUCUGCAGAGGACAGUGUAGACAAACAAGAGGCUGCCUUUUGCAGGAGGGCCGCCCACCGGGUGUCUAGAACCGCUGGUCCGUGUGCACCGGUCCCCACCAGCCGUGUGGCGUCAAGCUUUGCACGGCCACGCCCGACUCACAUCAAAGUACUGCCAAGGUCCCUCUGGGUCCCCACCGGUGCGCCAGGCCUCGCUGGACAUUCUUGCACCCCCCUCGGGUCACGUGCCCCACUCUGGGGACCCCAAUCCAGCUGAGCGGUGAUGGACACAGACUCAGAGUCAAUGUCUACACAGCGUCCUCUGGAAACUGACCCAGAACCUCCACGGUACACUGGUCAGGGCAGGUGUGGCCACCCAGUCACACGGCCAGGGAAGGUCGCCCCUGACCUCCUGUGCUGUCUGCUGAGGGUGCCCGUCGACGGGUCCCCAGGCACGUGCAGGGGCUGUGGAAGCCAUUUCUGAUGCGCGUAUAUUUAUAAGGGAGGUGCAUUUACUCCCAUUUGACGGGUGGUAGGACUGAGGCCUCGGGUGGAGAAUGGGGGCAGCAGGUCAGACCCGGGGUGGCACCCCCUGCCGCCCCGGUCCCCCAGUCCCUCACCUCCACGUCACCUCCUCCCGCUGACCUCCCCACUUCCCUUUGGCAGCAGGAGGGCCCCGCCAAGGCAGAGCUGUCUUACACUGUGCUGCAAGGACACAUUGCCUCACCUGACAGAGGCAGUU